AUUGAACGCUGGCGGCAUGCCUUACGCAUGCAAGCCGAACGGCAGCACGGGAGCAAUCCUGGUGGCGAGUGGCGAACGGGUGAGUAAAGCAUCGGAACGUGCCCAGUCGUGGGGGAUAACGUAGCGAAAGCUACGCUAAUACCGCAUACGAUCUGUGGAUGAAAGCGGGGGACCGUAAGGCCUCGCGCGAUUGGAGCGGCCGAUGUCAGAUUAGGUAGUUGGUGAGGUAAAGGCUCACCAAGCCGACGAUCUGUAGCUGGUCUGAGAGGACGACCAGCCACACUGGGACUGAGACACGGCCCAGACUCCUACGGGAGGCAGCAGUGGGGAAUUUUGGACAAUGGGCGCAAGCCUGAUCCAGCAAUGCCGCGUGCAGGAUGAAGGCCUUCGGGUUGUAAACUGCUUUUGUACGGAGCGAAACGGCUUCCACUAAUACUGGGGGCUAAUGACGGUACCGUAAGAAUAAGCACCGGCUAACUACGUGCCAGCCGCCGCGGUAACAC
rnacentral:rRNA from 1 species